GCGAUGGUCAGUGGCAUAGGGGUGAAAUAUUGCGCGGGGGCGGCUGGAAAUUUGGCAGUAGCUGCCGAAAUGAUCGAGCUGCCCGCAAAGACUGGCCAAAGGAUCUCUGAGAAGCGUGCCAGAAUUUGAUCUGUCACAAGAGCGAGGGUUUUUCAUUUUUGCUGAAAGAGAACGAGGUAAAUAUUGCUUCACCCCGAUGCGUAUGCCCGCAUGUAGCGGGCAAACUAAUGGCAGGCGGCUUCAGCUUAAGGCUAGAAGAGGCAGCUUAUUGUGCUGCAGGUUUGUCGUCAUGGUUUUAUGGAUGGUUGGAUCCCUUCCCAGUCAAUCGCAACUUGGGGAAUAGAACCAGGUGCCAAGGCCUGAGAUCUUCCGACGAACAUCAUGCCUGAGAAAGAGGACGAGGUAUACCACGAUUGACUUUGGACGCUUGAAAGGAUGAACAGGUUCUCUUUCCUAUUACUCACAGAUUUUAUAUUGUCAUGUGAGUGAGGGAGUCGUCCAAGCUGGCAUGAGCCAAAUGGCAAAUGUAUAUUGGUUUAUACA